CCCCUCCGCGGGGACCGACCGGGGCCGCCGCCGCGGGCGUAGCCGGAGAGGGUGGCUUGCGCCGGGACGCCGUCCUGCCCGCGGCUGGGACCUGGUGCCUUGACCGGCAGCCCUCCCCCACCUCCGCUUUUUUUUAUUUUGGCGCCAGGUGUGCCAGUGGGAGUUGCCGACCCACCCGUGACCCACCCUUGCGGCAGGUUUGCUUCCCCUCCUGGGGUCCGGUCGUCAGAGGCGCCUUCGUGACAUUUUUCAAAGUCCCGAUCCGGAGGCGGCGCGCGCGCCAGGUCUACGCGGGCGGGCGUGCGCCCCAAUGUGCCCGGUCACCGGACUCGACUUUCCCGCCGUUUGCUGAGUCGCGGACUUCCCUAGGUGGGCACGUAGGGGUCGUGCGUGGAGGACGGCGAAGGGCGUGGCGGGUCGGUACCGGCGCCGGCUUAGUGACUUGCUUUCCUAUGUAUUUCACGGUUGUGACUGUGAACUUGCCGGAACCAGCCUGUUGGCAGGGCUGAAUUAUCUGGACAUGGCCCAGGGCAUUUCCCCAAACCUGAAAAGGAUGCAUAAGAUGAUUGCUUGCUGCCAGACGGCUGAGGGCAUUUCAAUCUACAUGUUCUUGCCUCCUGCUGGCCAAACACCUGAACAUCUGACAAUGGAUUCUGUAUGGCAGCCCUGGCCUUUGAUGUGUAUGUCUACCUUGCCUUAGGACAAUUUGUGUGAAUAAACAGUAAGGGGUCCUGAGACCAGGAGAACUUGGUUUCUCUAGCCAAGCUCCUCUGGCCCCCAAAUGCCCUUCAAAAUUA